rnacentral:lncRNA from 1 species
AGAUUACCUGAAUGAUUCGUGGAAAUUAGAAUGUGGGGAUCUCAAAGAAUGUUUCACAAGAAAAACAAAUAUUGGCCAUUUCCAAACUUGCUCGGUGGUCGAGGUACUAUAGAGGACAUCAGUAGAAUGAAAGCAAGAGCAACCUGACAACAUUAUUGAUAGUCAACUUCCAUUAUCAGCAGCUUCACACGUGUAUGUAUUCUUUUGUUCAUUUUCAUCUUUGUGGUAUUUUCUUACUUCCCCUUGUUCGGAUUCUUGACAGAUCAAGAAUUGUUGAUGCAGGUAUAUCUUUCUUUUGGAAAUGGAAGUUGCUGUUUCUUCCCAGGUGAGCUGAGGUGAUAACUGAACUCUCUUCUUGUACUAGCAAUCCAUCUAUUUUGAUUUCAUGAUCAUGGUUCUCCCGUCAUGCUCUUAUGAUUUUAUACAUGCCAACAAGCAUCCACGCAAUUUGUUCUUUACUUCUGCACAUAUUACCAUGUUUUCCCACAAAAAUACACACGCCGCGGCAAGCCGCAGCAAUCAUGUUCUCAAGUUUUAAAGUGUAUAAGAUAAGAGCAUGUAUCUUAGUUAUUUUGGCACUGCCAUCCUUUACAUUAUAGGGUGUCUACAUAUGCAAAUUUGCAAGUUAAAUUUACCACACCUUUGAAACCUGCAGUUGUUUACUAUUCUCUUAAAUCUUUAAACUAUGUGCUGCAUUCCUUUAAUUUCAGAACUAGGAAGGUGCGGAUAAUAAGAGUUGUUGACAGAGGCAACCUGCACAUGUGUAAACAGUGGCUAUGGUGGCUCAAAGGGAAGCAGCGGCUGCUCCAUGGAAACACGCAACUUAGUGAUGUACUUUUUGUUUCUAGAUUUUGUUCACUCUCAUUAAAUUUUAAGCAAGAAAAUCCACUACCCUGCAAAAAGUUCUUCCAACAAAUAUUUUUGUGUGUGCAAUUAAGAUCAAUCUUCCUAUUCAUUCAUUGCACGCUGUUAUUCUGCAGGACCGGCGAAGUGCAAGGUCAUGUACAAGGUGGGGGUUGAUUGUCCCAGUUUUCUCUUUUGGUGUCUUGAUUCUGUUUCUUCGUGGUUUGCACAAGAUUCACUUAUGAAAUUGAUUUUCUUGCCAAUUUCAGGGAUAAGCUGGUCAAUGAAGGAAAUUCUAAAAGAAAGCGACUACAAGCAACAUUUGAAGGUACAGCUUGUAUUAUGUUACUUCAGAAAUUAAUAUCAUGGUCUGUUAUUGAGAAUCACGAGUUUCUUGACAAUGAGACUCAUUACAUUUUCUUUUCAUAAAAAAAAAUCCUUGGAAGAGAUUGUAAAGUUUAAUGAGCAUGUCCCUUUUACAUCUCUUUACAGUGUGUUUUCUUUUGGUUUCACAACAUUUUAAGUUUUAUAUUUUUUUACAGGCUGUGUAUAGUGGAGGUAUUGAUGAUGAAAUAUGAAUGUCCCUUGUUCUUGUCUGCUCCUGAUCACAGUAGACUUGUCUGAUGUGCUCUAGAUCCUUUCUGUUUUUUCAUUAAAUGAUUAUGUGACUGAGGAGAGCAUGUUCUUAAUUAGGUUGCCAUUGUGAAACUUGUUUUCGGUUUUUUUAUUGUAUAAUACAGAGCUUCCAAAUGGUUUAAUCCUAGAUAUAAGUUACCAAUUUUCGGUGUGUAGUGAGCUGGAAGCCGGGGUCAUCCUUCUCACCACCAGUCGAACAUACUACUUCAGCCACCAUGUUGAGAGAUAUAAAAGUGUUCUGUAUUUCAGAGAGCAACAACACGAGAUUGUGCCCCCUCUUGCUCCAGGUGCAUGUUGCUGUAAUUAGUAUCAACAGAUUAAAUCAUGGGCCAUGUCUCUGUUUCAUACCACCUCUGUUCAUAAAUAGAUAGCUUCCUAGAGAUUGUGCAGUCCUAAGGCCAUCCACACUAUUGCCCGUUAAAGCGUAUUGAGUGCAUCAAGCCUAAUUUUCUAUUGGACAGAUUUUGUUCUGUAAUCUAUUAGUGUUAGAACAAUACAAAUUUUCCUAUUUUGCAGAAACUAACUUAGUGCUUCCUUCUUUCGGGUUUGAAAUUCAGCAAUUCUUUUCCUUAAUCGCAAACUGAAUUGUUCGUCGUUGCUAUUUGGUUUCCCUUCUGUCUGGCAUAUUGAUGAUUUGAUCCGCAUUCAAGAAAGAAAUAUUCCAUGCAAGCCUCCAGCCUAAGUAAAGAAAUUUAUUUGCUUGCCAUUUGA